rnacentral:rRNA from 1 species
UUUUGGGCAAUGGGCGAAAGCCUGACCCAGCAACGCCGCGUGAGGGAUGAAGUAUUUCGGUAUGUAAACCUCGAAAGAAUGGGAAGAAUAAAUGACGGUACCAUUUAUAAGCUCCGGCUAACUACGUGCCAGCAGCCGCGGUAAUACGUAGGGAGCAAGCGUUGUUCGGAUUUACUGGGCGGAAAGGGCGCGUAGGCGGCGCGGUAAGUCACUUGUGAAAUCUCUGAGCUUAACUCAGAACGGCCAAGUGAUACUGCUGUGCUAGAGUGCGGAAGAGGCAACCGGAAUUCUUGGUGUGGCGGUGAAAUGCGUAGAUAUCAAGAGGAACACCUGAGGCGAAGGCGGGUUGCUGGGCCGACACUGACGCUGAUGCGCGAAAGCCAGGGGAGCAAACG